GACGAACGCUGGCGGCGUGCUUAACACAUGCAAGUCGAACGGCAAGGCCCUACUUUUGUGGUGUGCUCGAGUGGCGAACGGGUACGUAACACGUGAGUAUCCUGCCCUUGACUUUGGGAUAACUUCAGGAAACUGGGGUUAAUACCGGAUAGGAGCUCCUGUUGCAUGGUGGGGGUUGGAAAGUUUCGGCGGUUGGGGAUGGACUCGCGGCUUAUCAGCUUGUUGGUGGGGUAGUGGCUUACCAAGGCUGUGACGGGUAGCCGGCCUGAGAGGGUGACCGGGCACAUGAGGACUGAGAGACGGCGCAGACUCCAACGGUAGACAGCAGGGGGGAAUAUUACACAAUGGGCGGAAGCCGGAUGCAGCAGCGCCGCGGGUGGGAAGACGGCCUGCUGGUAGAGAACCGCUGUCGCCUAAGACGAAGCGGGAGUGACGGUAAUGGAUAAAGAAGCACCGGCUAACUACGUG
rnacentral:rRNA from 1 species